UAGAAAUAAUUGAUGUUUUUUUUCUGCUUGGAAAGUAAUACAGAUGUAAGCUGUUGUAAUAGACAGCAUUCUCGGGACAUGUGGAUAAGGGAGACCAAAUUCAACAAUCCGCCUUCUUCCAAUUGGGUGUCCUAUGACUGGCCACGCCCACUAUGACAAAGAUUCGUAAAUAUCCCCAAGGUUAUGCUUUCGUGCUAUAGCAGAUUUUUGUGAUGUCUUUCUACUGAGACAAAGUCUCGCAAGAUGAAAUAAAUCCUCACCUUCGUUUGCAUGAGUUGCAGCUGAAUAUGUCACACUGAAGGAAGAAAUCUCCUUCUGGGUUCUGCUCCAAGUGGGGAAAAAGACACUGGAAACAUGGAGACUGCUUGGAAAUAUGGUUUAAUGGUGGACAGGAUCACAUGACUUGAGUUCCUGAACAGAAAAGGGCAGAUACAGUAAAUCCUCGGGUUUUUA